rnacentral:rRNA from 1 species
UACAGAGGGGGCAAGCGUUGUCCGGAUUUACUGGGCGUACAGCGCGCGCAGGCGGUUGCGUAUGUGAGCGGUGACAUCCGCGGGCUCAACCCGCGGCGGCCCGCUUACACAGCGCGACUGGAGGCAGGGAGAGGGAUGUGGAAUACCCGGUGGAGCGGUGAAAUGCGUAGAGAUCGGGUGGAACACCAGCGGCGAAGGCGGGUCUCUGGGCAAUUCCUGACGCUGAGGCGCGAAAGCGUGGGGAGCAAACGGG